AGAUUAGUCCCUUAGAAUUCCAAAGGGUUGCCUGCUAUUAACCGUAGCUGAUAAUGUCACUUUCACAAAAUUUACCAUGGCUUUUUCCUUGGCACAAAGAAAUACGUUUUAACUUGCCUAGAAAUCCUACUUGUGAAGGGGAGGAAAGAGAAUAAUAGUUGGGUAUGUUUCAGGUGGAAGCCAAGCUAAUUGACAAACUGGAUAGCCUGAUGUCAGAAGGCAAAGGUGACGAAACAUACCGCGAGCUCUUCAACAGUAUUCUACUAAAGAAAAUUGAGCGGGAAACAUGGCGGGAAAGUGGCGUUUCAUUAAUUGCUACUGUAACUCGUCUAAUGGAGAGGUUGUUAGAUUACAGGGACUGCAUGAAAAUGGGAGAGGUAGAUGGCAAAAAGAUUGGCUGCACAGUUAGCCUUCUGAACUUCUAUAAGACUGAACUGAACAAGGAGGAGAUGUAUAUAC
rnacentral:lncRNA from 1 species